rnacentral:tRNA from 1 species
GCACUCGUAGCUCAACCGGAUAGAGCAUCGGUCUUCGAAACCGAGGGUUGGGGGUUCGAAUCCCUCCGGGUGCA